rnacentral:rRNA from 1 species
GAUGAACGCUGGCGGCGUGCCUAAUACAUGCAAGUCGAGCGAACAGACGAGGAGCUUGCUCCUCUGACGUUAGCGGCGGACGGGUGAGUAACACGUGGAUAACCUACCUAUAAGACUGGGAUAACUUCGGGAAACCGGAGCUAAUACCGGAUAAUAUAUUGAACCGCAUGGUUCAAUAGUGAAAGACGGUUUUGCUGUCACUUAUAGAUGGAUCCGCGCCGCAUUAGCUAGUUGGUAAGGUAACGGCUUACCAAGGCAACGAUGCGUAGCCGACCUGAGAGGGUGAUCGGCCACACUGGAACUGAGACACGGUCCAGACUCCUACGGGAGGCAGCAGUAGGGAAUCUUACGCAAUGGGCGAAAGCCUAACGGAGCAACGCCGCGUGAGUGAUGAAGGUCUUCGGAUCGUAAAACUCUGUUAUUAGGGAAGAACAAAUGUGUAAGUAACUAUGCACGUCUUGACGGUACCUAAUCAGAAAGCCACGGCUAACUACGUG